AGUGAACGCUGGCGGUAGGCCUAACACAUGCGAGUCGAACGGCAGCACAGUAAGAGCUUGCUCUUACGGGUGGCGAGUGGCGGACGGGUGAGGAAUACAUCGGAAUCUACUUUUUCGUGGGGGAUAACGUAGGGAAACUUACGCUAAUACCGCAUACGACCUACGGGUGAAAGCAGGGGAUCUUCGGACCUUGCGCGAUUGAAUGAGCCGAUGUCGGAUUAGCUAGUUGGCGGGGUAAAGGCCCACCAAGGCGACGAUCCGUAGCUGGUAUGAGAGGAUGAUCAGCCACACUGGAACUGAGACACGGUCCAGACUCCUACGGGAGGCAGCAGUGGGGAAUAUUGGACAAUGGGCGCAAGCCUGAUCCAGCCAUACCGCGUGGGUGAAGAAGGCCUUCGGGUUGUAAAGCCCUUUUGUUGGGAAAGAAAAGCAGCAGGUUAAUACCCCGCUGUUCUGACGGUACCCAAAGAAUAAGCACCGGCUAACUUCGUG
rnacentral:rRNA from 1 species